CCUACGGGAGGCAGCAGUGAGGAAUAUUGGUCAAUGGUCGGGAGACUGAACCAGCCAAGCCGCGUGAGGGAUGAAGGUACAGAGUAUCGUAAACCUCUUUUGUCAGGGAACAAAGGCGGGGACGUGUCCCCGGAUGAGUGUACCUGAAGAAAAAGCAUCGGCUAACUCCGUGCCAGCAGCCGCGGUAAUACGGAGGAUGCGAGCGUUAUCCGGAUUUAUUGGGUUUAAAGGGGGCGCAGGCGGUCUGUUAAGUCAGCGGUAAAAGCCCGGGGCGCAACCCCGGCCCGCCGUUGAAACUGGCAGUCUCGAGUUGGAGAGAAGUAUGCGGAAUGCGCGGUGUAGCGGUGAAAUGCAUAGAUAUCGCGCAGAACUCCGAUUGCGAAGGCAGCAUGCCGGCUCCACACUGACGCUGAGGCACGAAAGCGUGGGUAUCGAACAGGAUUAGAUACCCGUGUAGUC
rnacentral:rRNA from 1 species